rnacentral:rRNA from 1 species
CAGUGGGGAAUUUUGGACAAUGGGGGCAACCCUGAUCCAGCAAUGCCGCGUGUGUGAAGAAGGCCUUCGGGUUGUAAAGCACUUUUGUCCGGAAAGAAAUCGCGCUGGUUAAUACCUGGCGUGGAUGACGGUACCGGAAGAAUAAGCACCGGCUAACUACGUGCCAGCAGCCGCGGUAAUACGUAGGGUGCGAGCGUUAAUCGGAAUUACUGGGCGUAAAGCGCUCGUAGGCGGUUUGUCGCGUCUGCUGUGAAAGCCCGGGGCUUAACCCCGGGCGUGCAGUGGGUACGGGCAGACUUGAGUGCAGUAGGGGAGACUGGAAUUCCUGGUGUAGCGGUGAAAUGCGCAGAUAUCAGGAGGAACACCGAUGGCGAAGGCAGGUCUCUGGGCUGUUACUGACGCUGAGGAGCGAAAGCAUGGGGAGCGAACAGGAUUAGAUACCCUGGUAGUCCAUGCCGUAAACGUUGGGCACUAGGUGUGGGGAACAUUCCACGUUUUCCGCGCCGUAGCUAACGCAUUAAGUGCCCCGCCUGGGGAGUACGGCCGCAAGGCUAAAACUCAAAGGAAUUGACGG